rnacentral:rRNA from 1 species
UGGGGAAUUUUGGACAAUGGACGAAAGCCUGAUCCAGCAAUGCCGCGUGUGUGAAGAAGGCCUUCGGGUUGUAAAGCACUUUUGUCCGGAAAGAAAUCCUUGGCUCUAAUACAGUCGGGGGAUGACGGUACCGGAAGAAUAAGCACCGGCUAACUACGUGCCAGCAGCCGCGGUAAUACGUAGGGUGCAAGCGUUAAUCGGAAUUACUGGGCGUAAAGCGUGCGCAGGCGGUUUGCUAAGACCGAUGUGAAAUCCCCGGGCUCAACCUGGGAACUGCAUUGGUGACUGGCAGGCUAGAGUAUGGCAGAGGGGGGUAGAAUUCCACGUGUAGCAGUGAAAUGCGUAGAGAUGUGGAGGAAUACCGAUGGCGAAGGCAGCCCCCUGGGCCAAUACUGACGCUCAUGCACGAAAGCGUGGGGAGCAAACAGGAUUAGAUACCCUGGUAGUCCACGCCCUAAACGAUGUCAACUAGUUGUUGGGGAUUCAUUUCCUUAGUAACGUAGCUAACGCGUGAAGUUGACCGCCUGGGGAGUACGGUCGCAAGAUUAAAACUCAAAGGAAUUGACGGGGUCAUAGCUGUUUCCU